UACAGAGGGUGCGAGCGUUGUUCGGAAUUAUUGGGCGUAAAGCGCUUGUAGGCGGCACGUCAAGUCGCGUGUGAAAUCCCCAGGCUUAACCUGGGAAGUGCGCGCGAAACUGACGAGCUUGAGUGCCGGAGAGGGUCGCGGAAUUCCCGGUGUAGAGGUGAAAUUCGUAGAUAUCGGGAGGAACACCAGUGGCGAAGGCGGCUCACUGGCCCGAUACUGACGCUGAGACACGAAAGCGUGGGGAGCAAACAGG
rnacentral:rRNA from 1 species